AUUGAACGCUGGCGGAAUGCUUUACACAUGCAAGUCGAACGGCAGCACGGGGCAACCUGGUGGCGAGUGGCGAACGGGUGAGUAAUACAUCGGAACGUGCCCAAUCGUGGGGGAUAACGUAGCGAAAGCUACGCUAAUACCGCAUACGGUCUACGGAUGAAAGCAGGGGAUCGCAAGACCUCGCGCGAAUGGAGCGGCCGAUGGCAGAUUAGGUAGUUGGUGGGGUAAAGGCUCACCAAGCCUGCGAUCUGUAGCUGGUCUGAGAGGACGACCAGCCACACUGGAACUGAGACACGGUCCAGACUCCUACGGGAGGCAGCAGUGGGGAAUUUUGGACAAUGGGCGCAAGCCUGAUCCAGCCAUUCCGCGUGCAGGAUGAAGGCCCUCGGGUUGUAAACUGCUUUUGUACGGAACGAAAAGGCUUUCUCUAAUACAGGGGGCUCAUGACGGUACCGUAAGAAUAAGCACCGGCUAACUACGUGCCAGCAGCCGCGGU
rnacentral:rRNA from 1 species